AUCGCUUCUCAGCCUUUUGGCUAAGAUCAAGUGUAGUAUCUGUUCUUAUCAGUUUAAUAUCUGAUAUGUCCUGUAUUUGAGGACUAUAUAUUAAAUGGAUUUUUGGAGCCAAUUGUGAUCACUAGGACUACCUGUAUAGAUUUAUGCUCAACUUAGGAUGAAGGCAAACUUUUAGUGCCUUUUUGUUUCUAAAUCAUCU